rnacentral:rRNA from 1 species
UACGUAGGGGGCGAGCGUUGUCCGGAAUCAUUGGGCGUAAAGCGCGUGUAGGCGGCUCGAUAAGUCCGGUGUGAAACCUUGGGGCUCAACCUCAAGCCUGCACUGGAUACUGCCGAGCUAGAGUCCGGGAGGGGAGAGCGGAAUUCCUAGUGUAGCGGUGAAAUGCGCAGAUAUUAGGAAGAACACCGGUGGCGAAGGCGGCUCUCUGGAACGGUACUGACGCUGAGACGCGAAAGCGUGGGGAGCGAACAGG